rnacentral:rRNA from 1 species
UGGGGAAUAUUGGACAAUGGGCGCAAGCCUGAUCCAGCCAUGCCGCGUGUGUGAAGAAGGUCUUCGGAUUGUAAAGCACUUUAAGUUGGGAGGAAGGUCAGUAACCUAAUACGUUGCUGAUUUGACGUUACCGACAGAAUAAGCACCGGCUAACUCUGUGCCAGCAGCCGCGGUAAUACAGAGGGUGCAAGCGUUAAUCGGAAUUACUGGGCGUAAAGCGCGCGUAGGUGGUUAUGUAAGUUGGAUGUGAAAUCCCCGGGCUCAACCUGGGAACUGCAUCCAAAACUGCAUAGCUAGAGUACGGUAGAGGGUGGGGGAAUUUCCUGUGUAGCGGUGAAAUGCGUAGAUAUAGGAAGGAACACCAGUGGCGAAGGCGACCACCUGGACUGAUACUGACACUGAGGUGCGAAAGCGUGGGGAGCAAACA